CAGGAUCAAGGUGUCGUAUGAAAGCUGGAAUUCUCCUUUUGGUCCAACUGAUGCAUAAUUCUACAUAAUUUGAGAUGAUUGAUGAACCAAGAGUACAUUACAUUUCAGACAUGUGAAUAUCAAACGUGUUACCAAAUUGAACAAAUCAUACGUAAAACUGUAGCACUUUAAUUGAACAUUAAAGACAUCAUUUACUGCAUUAGUUAACAAAAACUUUAACAAACCUUAUGUAUAAUGUAAGGAAUAAAACACUUGGGGGCGUGGUUUGAUGAAGUGGACUUACUGUUGCCACCUGGAAGUUGUUCCAAAGUGUUUUAUUCCUCUUAUACCAGAGCGAUUCGCCGGGGAUUACAUUUUCCAUUUAUUAAAUAAUGACACAUUAUCCACAAAACAUGUUACUUCCUGUUAUCACAUGUUAUAGCAGUUAUAAACACUUAUUCCCUCACUUUCACUUUAUGUUAUUAAGACAAAAAACGCCGCUUGUCAUGUUACCAAGAAGCAUAAACUCCUCUGUAUUGAAGACUUUCCUGCAGCGGAAAACCUACUGACACUGGAGACUCCUUCCAUAAAUGUUCAACAUUUCCUUACAGAAAGCUUAACAGCAAGGUUUUGAAGCCAUUUAUUAUUGUCAUGUUAGCACCAAAGGGCACUGAACUCCAUUUCCCAGAGUGCACCUCUGACUACAAACAUGGCUCCCAUGGACUCCAACUCCCAGUUCACACGCCUCAGUUCACCUGAUUACUGAUAGCACACACCUGGACUCAAUCACCACCGCGCUACUUAAGCACGCUCACGGCACAUAGUUCAGCUGCUUUUCCUCUGACAUAUCAAGCCUCUGAUUCAUGUUUCUUUUCUCUUUUAAUGAUUCUAGUCUCUGUUUAUUAUUUUGAACUCAAGUCAUUAUUUUGAACUCCAACUGAAAAGUGACUGCUUUUGUGUUUUUAUUUGUAACAGUACUAUAUUUUCAUGAUUUAAAAAAUACACUACAUUCUUGUGCAUUUAUUCAGGAGGACAUGCACAAAAUUCACCAGGACAUAAGGGGUUAAAUGGGUUCUGUGAAAGAUCAGUGAAUAUUGAAUAUAAUGACAAGAAAUCUUUACAAAUGUAUUUCAUUAAAGCAUCAGAAACAAGCUUCCAUCCUGUACCCAGCGACCCAGGUUCUGAAAACGACAGAAACAAAAGCAGGAUGUGAAACACCAGCAUUCAACCAAGCAGGCGGGACAAGUGGGUGGCUGUCGAUCAAAAAACUCCACCUCUUGUACUAGCAGAAAGGCUGGUGUUAGUAUUCAGUGGCUGAUUUACCCAUCAGCCCUGUGUCUACCUCCUGCCCCGCUACAUCACUGAGGGACCUGCCAGAGUCUGACAAUCGUUAUUCACACAGUGACCAUCUGCCCGACUGCCACACACACACACACCAGCAAAAGCACUGCAUUCAUACAUGUCUGACGAGGACGGUGAAGGACUGUCGUUAACCUCUCAGCGCCGGAGAGCCGAUGCAAAGUCAGGAAAAAGGACACACACGGCUCACAAUAUAUAAUUAUACUGUGUGUUAUCUCUGCUUUCCCUGUCAGACUCCUCUUUCUCCUCUUUCUCAACGGAUUCAUUAUUUAUACAUUCUAACUGUAAAGUCAUUUCAUUUUUCAAGCCAGCAUUUUGUUAAAUACACACUAUUCCACACUGCUAUUUGCACAAGAUUCUCUUCACCUAUUUAAUAUUGAAUCAAUGGAAAUGCAGAAAAUAUUGCAAUAAAAAACAUUGUUAUUAAAGUUUUGAAAGUUCACAAUACAAUCUGA